rnacentral:rRNA from 1 species
GUGGGGAAUUUUGGACAAUGGGCGCAAGCCUGAUCCAGCCAUGCCGCGUGAGUGAUGAAGGUCUUAGGAUUGUAAAGCUCUUUCACCGGUGAAGAUAAUGACGGUAACCGGAGAAGAAGCCCCGGCUAACUUCGUGCCAGCAGCCGCGGUAAUACGAAGGGGGCUAGCGUUGUUCGGAAUUACUGGGCGUAAAGCGCACGUAGGCGGAUAUUUAAGUCAGGGGUGAAAUCCCGGAGCUCAACUCCGGAACUGCCUUUGAUACUGGGUAUCUCGAGUAUGGAAGAGGUGAGUAGAAUUCCGAGUGUAGAGGUGAAAUGCGUAGAUAUUCGGAGGAACACCAGUGGCGAAGGCGGCUCACUGGUCCAUUACUGACGCUGAGGUGCGAAAGCGUGGGGAGCAAACAGGAUUAGAAACCCGGGUAGUCC